rnacentral:lncRNA from 1 species
UAUCGCUUUAGCAGAAAAGGUUCAGAAUAUGUACGGCGACAUUGGUGGCAAUCUGGAAGAGUGAGUCUGAAAUUAGAGGUGAAAGUAUUAAAAUAUUGAUAGCACCUCUCUGUGUCCAUUGCUGGCCCAUUUAUUAUUCAUUCUACCUUGAAGGUAGCAUGCAAGAUGACCCUCUUUCAUUCAGGCCUGCCUGCUAACUCCUGCCUGCCUUCGUUGUGAUUCCAUGUAGCUUUACUGACAUUUUUCCCCAGCUCAGCUGAUGUGGAGAUGAGAUUCAAGUGUGUUAUUCAUUUCCUCGUGUUUAUGUCCGGCUUUGAAUCAUCUGUCUGUGGCUGUGCCGUUUGCUUUCCUACUUUCAAAUAACAAAAGGCCCACUCCCCAUUUUGCUAAAUCUUAUUCUAUGCAUGAGCACAAAUUAAAGAAAAAAAAGGCAAUUAAAUAAAUUUGACUGUAUUGAAGCAUUUAAUGGUAUUCCAGCCCCGGUUAAUGCUCCUCCUAAAGCAGGUAUUCUGAAUUUGUUGUCUAGCUUUUAAUGACCUUGAUGUUCAUCUAAAUUUAAUAACUACAUGAAAAUUUUAUUAAUUAAUAAAAAGAAUGUUUGGUUUGUGUUUGCAAAGAUUGAAUUAAAUUGAAUAUAUUAAAAAAGCUUGGUGUAGCUAUGUUUUUUUAUCUGGCUGUAAUUUGAAGCGGCUAAACCGGGCCUCUUUUGAAAUUUUAAUCCAUAGAGGUAGAUCAAGGAUACAUGUUGACUUAUCUAUACUCAUAGAAUUAUUUUAGAUUUCGAGCAACCCUCUCAAAUGAUUCAUAUUUCAUGGGGGGUGGGUUAGGGGGGGCAUAUUUACCCGGGCUCCUUUGAAGAUCUGCGAGGAGCUUCGGCUCUGACUUUGGUCAGUCAUAAAUAGGAAUCCCCCUGAGGGCCAGGCUCAUAGGUGCUGUUUAUGUUGACCAAUGGUACCGCAGCCUGAAAACCGGAGGAGCGCUGUCGGGAUUGGAGCAGGUGGGUUCUGGGCUUCAAAGACGAAAAGAUAAUCUGCCGAAAAAAUCUAAAGCCAGGCUCUGAGAUGUGCUGAACAUCUCGGAGCUUCUGCUCGCAAAGACACGCAGCUCAUCAUGUGGUUUGAGCCAGCCCAGGAAUGCUUUGAUGCUUCUGAUCCCCCAACUUUUGUUAGUUUAUUUGACUGAGUUUUUAUGUAUAAUAUGUAUUCCAAAUGCCAGCUCUUCUUUAAAGAACUUAAAGGAAAUCCCAAAGAAAUAACUUUGGAGUUGGAGGCUUGUGCUUAAGCAUCAGUUGAUUCAAAGGCUCAGUGGCAAAGUCUGCCAUAACACAGAGAGAGGAGCGCAUGGUCAAUCGCUGGAUGAACGGUGGAAAAAAGUAGUUCCUCAUAAGCACAGGAGAUAGUUUUUUUUCAUAUAAGGCUGAUAUCUUUUUAAUUUUCUGAGCAGAAUGAUAAUGGAGAAAUAUUGAUCGGCUUUUAGUGCUGGCCUUUAAAAUCAUAAUUCCAUGCAGGGAUAAAAUUUCAACUUUUCCCAAGUUUUACUGUCAAACAACUUCAGGUACUGGAUGACUUGAAGCAUAUUUACCUGGAAGUUUGUUAAAAUGUCCAAUAAAAUGUAAAAUUUAGAUGUGAUAAGAAGUUAUUUUUUGGUCAUAUACAGGGCCUGGAUCAUUUGUUGUUAUGAAUUCUGCUUUCUGUAUUUUUUACUAUUAAAAAACAUGUUUUUGCCAUUAUUUAUGGGACAGAGAAAAGAAUUCUGGGGAAUAGAAAGUGAGGUAAGAUGUAAAUCAGUCAGGAGUUGAACCAGCAACCACUGCAGUAAGGAACAUAGCCUCUGUAUAUUGGGGUCACUUAAACUGGGAGGCCUCUGCUUGCUGUUUUAGAGCAAUCUCAUUUUUAUCCAAGAGUUAAACUUCACAAAUGUGUAAAUGUGUCCUAGGAAAAGGACUAUUUCAUCAGCUGUAACAACUCAAAUUAUUUGGGAUUUAAACUGGAAAGUCGGGUACCUAAACCCACACAAAACUGCUUCAGUGAAGGAUGGAAGCAACAGAGGAUUUCCUGAUAGGAGGCUGAGGAUUGAGAGGUUAUGCUUCUGUCUGUCCCUGCUCCUCCUAUUUCAAAAUAAAAAUGAAUAUAUGCUGCAGUUUUCUCCAUCCAGUUUUUACUUGUAUGUAAACAAGGUAAAUAUUAAGAGCAAGCCCCAAAAUAUCGAUUAGCACUCACAUCUUUUUUUAGUGUUUUCCAACUACUUGCAUUUGAUGUUGACCUGUUAUUGACCUGUUGCAUUAGGUAAAAUUCUGUGUGUUUAAAAUGCAUGAUGGGCUUAAAACUCAACUCCCAAAACAGAAGAAAAAAUGGUGAAGGUGUAGUUUAUGUCAAGAUAAAUUCAACUCUGCUAGCUUGAUCAUCAGAGAAAAUGAAGGUGGAUCAGGAAACAGGAAAUCAUUUUUUUUUUACUUCUUAUAAAACCACCAAGGGCUGAAGUUUGCUGCUUCUUGUCCCGUUCAGUCAUCACCGCUUGACAAUGGGAGUUAUUUGUUUUCUUUUUUUUGGUACAAACAACAUCUUAUUUUUUUAUUUGGACUUGGUCUUGAAUGGUCCUCGGAUGGAAACAAAAUAAUGAGAAAGAGAUGAAAAGUAAUGAAGGAAAUGGCCUCCAAGGCUCCAUCUUAGUUUAUAAAAGAGGAUUUUGUGUCGGGUGAUUGUGUUCUCUUUGCCUGCAGAGGGGGAUGUUGCCCUGGACAUGGGCCCAUGUCCUGUGUUACAAGCGGCAGUACUAUGCACAAUACCUGCUCUGACUUUUCCUCCUUUCAUAUGCUUAAUAUUUGUGUAUGAAGAAGAACUAAAGCGCUUAAUAACAUCAUGGAAACCUCGCUGUUUUGAUCCCAGUUAGUUUUUGGAGUGCUUUUUCUCUGACGCUCCACACUCAGCAGCAGAAAACAUGCUUUGGAUCUCUUGGUUCUCUGUCUUUGUUCACUUAACUCUAUUGUUCCUCUGCAUAAGACCCACACAUGGACAUUUUUCCUUUUUUUUUGCAGUCACAUGGACAAAGUUGAACGUAAAAAUUCAAAUGUAAAUGAAUCUCCAGAUUUCAUUGUGGUGCAGGAACUCUGCCGCCCUUCGCCGUGUUUUUUGAGUGAAACCAAAACCAUAAAUCUGAGAAACAGUUGAGGUUGAAGAAUCAGCGACGGAGGUGGGAGAUGAGAUAGCGGUGGUUCAGAUGGCCCCCCUCCUGGUCGCCGGCCGUCAGAAGGAACGAAGUAGCCAUUUUGUGGCGAGUGCGGUGGUGCGGUAGAGAUGAGAUGGUUAACACCCUCCUGCAGUAUAGCCACCCUUCUCUCUCCCUCUCUCCCUCGCUCUAAUUUUCUCUCCCCCCUUCUUUCCCUUGCUCGUCCGCUCAGUCGACUAUGAAGACACUUCAUCUUCCCUGACAGUAUGACCACUACUGCAUGUUCUGAUGCGUUCAGCAUACCUUCAUUGCAUCAUAAAUAAAUCAGAGAAAUGACUUUUUCUUUCUCUUUCUCUCACAUGUUCUUUUAUCUCCCGCUCUCCUGUCUCUGUUAUCUCUUGGAGUCUGAAAACGGGAAAUGGUGUGCCUGUGGAUUUCCUGUGUGCUCCCCCCUUCUUCCACUCUUCUUACUGCAUGUGCAUGAUCAUCACCCUCCAAUCCCCCUUUUACAUUAUCUCAAAGAGGAGAAAUUAUUUUUCUCCGUAAUGAUAUUCAUUCUAUGUUAUGACAUUAUCUGCUUAAAUUUUAAUUUAAAUGUCAUGGAUGUGAGGGAUUUUCUUAAUUAAUGUGCGCAGGGGAUGCAAAAUACAAUCCCGUAUAAUAGAAACAAACUAUUGUCAUUUUUCUGAGGGGGGGAUUUUUUGGGGCCAGCAUUUUGGCGUUGGGAGGGACUACACAAACAGACUUGACAUGCUUUGUUAGUUGUUCUGGAACAAAAAAACACACACCAACACAUGAGCACACACAUGCAUUUGUGGGGCUGUAGAUUACAUGAGCAGGCGGGGUAGGGAUGGGUGGAUGAAGGAGAACGGGGGAUGUGGAGAAAGAUUGUCAAGAACCACUACCCCUCCUCUCCUCCACCUCCACCCCCAUACUGACUCCCUAUACCCAGUCCCUCCACCCCUUCCUGUAAUCUCCACUCCUCCACGGGUAGUCUCAAACCUUGUGUUCGUCCACCACCAACCAAUUACCUGGCAACCCUGCCCUUAUCCCCAGCACAGGCGUGAUGCUGCUGCAUGAUGGGGUUUUUGUAUAUUGAAUUCCAUCUCCUGGUGAGAUAAAGGGUGUAGGAACAGGGCUCUGCCGCUGUGCUAGAUAAGUGUUUCUCACAAACCGUUCCUCGCCGCUUCUUCUGACACUGAUUGUGGAAAAAAGAGACAUUGGGGAUGGUGCUGAUGUUGUGUGUGUGGGGCGGGGGGUAGUAGUGAGAUGGGACCCAAUUUCAAUAUGAUUUUCCUCUUGUUUUUAAUUUGUUACGAAGCGGCUCCCUGAGAGGAGUCGGAUCCUGCGCCUAAAUACCUUCCUGUUUCAUGUUAGGAAAGUCUAGGCUUCACCGCUGAGAUCAAUAUUCAAAUAGCGUGAGAAUAUUUUUCUCUGGCGUCUCUCCUUCUCAUUGCAGAGUUACCAAACACAAGAUAUUACUCUGUGGAUCGAUAGUUUAUCUUCAUUUAGGAAGGCUGUUCAAUCUGCAGAGGUGACAGUUAUGGGUUGAGCAGCUCUGUGGAGUAUCAGCUUUUGUUCGGCUUCAUCCCUUCCCUCUCAGUCCUAUUUGUAAGCUGUCCUGAGAAGUGUCCCCUGGUACAUAUGGCCUGAGCCAGGGCCCGGCUAUCUGUCUUUGUCUGGCCCACUGCAGGGAACCACACACUCAUUGGUUGUCCUGGGGAACAAUGUAAGUGAUGGACCACCGUUCAUACAUCAAACCUGCAAGGCGUUUGACACUGCGGGACAGAAACAUUGAAAAUAAUGACCACAGCAAUAUGUAUCAGAGGUUAAAAAUAGAGUACUGCGGAGAGGUGCUGGCUGAGAGUCGAGUCUGAGAGCUCUUCUCUGCAGCCCUCCCACUGUUUUAGAGGUUAAUGGAAGCUGCCUUGAGCGCAGAAGAAAAGAUGUUUCCAGUUAACCAGAAUGAGUGAUAUUCAACUACUUGGACACUAAUAUGCUCCAAUUGAAUUUCUCCCUUUGUCAGUGGGGAGUCUGUCCUGCUGCGGACCCUCCCUCACAGCUGUGCCCUUGUCUCCCUCUGCUCCACCAGCGCUGAGCCCAGCCCCAAAAGGUCAAGUGUGAGGGGUCAAGUUUAACCUGAAACCAGACAGAGCGAGAUGGACAGGGGGGAGGGGAGAGGGCCGGGGUCACUUGUGUGUGGUGUACCGCUGACUAUCAGUGUGGAUGUUAGCAUUUAUCUGUGUGCAGUUGUGUAGGCUUUGUGGUUGUAGUCCAAUAAAGUUUGGACGUGUGGGGAUCUGAAAGAGAUGGUCAGAAAUGUGCACAAGAAGAGAUUUACAAAGUACAAUGUGUUUUCAGUAGGGGUGUCUCGAUACAACUUUUUGACUUUCGAUAUGAUACUGAUAUUGUAGCCUUCAAUAUUGACCAAUACCAAUAUUGAUCUCAAUGUCUUUUAUGGAUUUGAACAAAAAAUGCUACAACACAGCCGACAUCACUCUUACUCCUUGGUACUUUGUUAGUAUCUUAGUACACACUGUUGUUGUGAUUUUGUGGGCUCUACAUGCUGCAAGAUAGAGGUGCUGGAGCGGAGUCUGGAAUGGACUGCUUGUAUUGGAGUGCUGAUAUCAGAGAUUUUAGAUUUAGGUCGAUAUGAUCCGAUAUAUAUAUAUAUAUAUUUUGCUGAUAUUGGACCGAUACCCUAUAUCAAUAUCGUAUCGGGACACCCCUAGUUUUCAGCAGUGUUCUAAUGCACUACAAAUUUGCAGUUGUUAUAUCAUGAUCAAUUGACACGAUUAUUCAUUGAUUCCAAAACUUGGGUAUUAAUUGAACCACCAAAACUUAACUUUCAAUAUAACUUAAAAAAAAACAGCUAGAAAUAAAUCGACAAUAAAAAAAAAUAGUUAAUUGAAACAAUGAUGGCUGAUACCGGAGAUCUUAGAUUUAGGCCGAUAUAAUGCGAUCAGAGCCUCAAUGGGGCCCUAAGCAAAAUUUGAUUUUGGGGCCCUCUAUUUCUGCCAAUAAAAUUAAUUGUUGAUCAUUCACACAGCCACUACAGUCAAAAUUUAAUGCACCUGACAUGUCUUUACACAUUUAAGGUGGUCGCCUAGGUAGUAAUAUGAAUAAUACCAAUGCAACCAUACAAAUAAUAACAAAAUAAUCUCAAAAUGUUUACACAGUCAGGAUGCUCAGUGCACAUUUCACAGCAGGAGGCACAUAACGGAAGCGGAGCUUUGACAUAUCGGCAGUAAGAAUCAUAGGCCUACAUCAGCAGCACUAAAAUGUUAAAUACUUUAUUUUAUUUUACAAUAACCUAUAUGUGAUCAUACAGAAAGCAUCACUCAUACAUGCAGAAAAUAAAAAACAUUUUAAUUUUUUUUGUUGUUGUUUGAUUGCACUUGGGGGCCCCCUACUGGCCGCGGGGCUCUAAGCAGGCACUUAGUUCGCUUAUGCCUUGGGCCGGCUCUGAAUGCAAUAUUUUUGCUAAAAUUGGCCCUAUAUCCAUUAUCAGUGUCGUAUUGGGACACCCCUAGUUUUCAGCAGUGUUCUAGUACACUAUAAUUGUGCAAUUGUUCUACCUGUUGGACAAUAUCAAAAUUCUUAUUUUUAGGUGAUGAGCUAACUGUAGUUUUCUGUUUUUUCCCUGAAAGACAUACAGGAAAACAAUUUUUGAUCUAAAGUGGUUAACAGAAUGACCUAACUUGAAAACCACAAGUACUUUCAACUAAAUUUAGCCAACAUAGACAGUCUUAAGCUGGAUACCUGAUACAAGGCCUGAGGAGAGCCAUGUGAGCGCAGCUAUCUGAUGACUUUCACAGAGGAAUUUGAUGUACAGCAUGCUCGUAUUGUUUCAGUUUGCUAAAUCGCUCCGUGUACAUAAACAUCUGUGUCCCUCUCACUCACUCACUCUCUCUCACACACAAACACACACACACUCGCAGCGUGAGUCAGCCCACACCUGGAACAGAUAAAGGCUCUUUCAUGUUUGCAGGGCUAUCCCGGGGUCAGUGAGUGCUGGUGUUGAGAGCUCGUUUUUACUAGGAGUGAGUGGAGCCGGAGAAGAAAUGAAAAGAAACCAUAUAUAUCCAGGUGUUGCAGAGUUAAGGAAGUUUUAUUAGCCAACAAUUCCUUCCUUGAUUCCUUCCUCCAAUACUAUAGAGAUACCCCCCCUCGGCAUUAAACUGUGUCCAUCUAUUGCACAGUUGUCUUGAGUAAGAAGAUGGAUAACAGUCUGCUGGGUGCCUUAUGAAUUAUCAACAGUACAGCACAUAAAUAAAAGUCUGCGUUUUUGUCAAGCUGCCAUUUUAAUCUUGUUUCAGGCGUUUAUAGAAGAAAACGUACUUUUUCGUCGAAACCUUUGCCGCAUAUUGACUUCCAUAUAUUAACCGCUAUCCUCAAGGCUUUGAGAAACUUUGAUUUGAUGCUGACCAUCGUAAAUAAUGUUUUUGAGCUAUGAACUCUCUUAUGCACAUCAGCAUAAAUGUAAAAAGAAGACA